rnacentral:rRNA from 1 species
CCUACGGGAGGCAGCAGUGAGGAAUAUUGGUCAAUGGCCGGAAGGCUGAACCAGCCAAGCCGCGUGAAGGACGAAGGUGCCAAGCAUUGUAAACUUCUUUUGUCAAGGGACAACAUCAGGCACGAGAGCCUGACCGAGGGUACUUGAAGAAAAAGCAUCGGCUAACUCCGUGCCAGCAGCCGCGGUAAUACGGAGGAUGCGAGCGUUAUCCGGAUUUAGUGGGUUUAAAGGGUGCGUAGGCGGGCUGGGAAGUCAGCGGUAAAAGCCCGGGGCUCAACCCCGGCGAGCCGUUGAAACUGGCUGUCGUGAGUGGGCGAGAGGUAUGCGGAAUGCGCAGUGUAGCGGUGAAAUGCUUAGAUAUUGCGCAGAACUCCGAUUGCGAAGGCAGCAUACCGGCGGCGAUCUGACGCUGAAGCACGAAAGCGUGGGUAUCGAACAGGAUUAGAUACCCGGGUAGUC